CACCGCGGUCAUACAGGAGACCCAAAUUAACUUUAUAACGGCGUAAAGCGUGGUUACAUGUUAUCCAAGUAACUAAGAUUAAAAAGCAACUGAGCUGUCAUAAGCCCAAGAUGCCAAUAAGGCCCCCUUAUUAAAGAAGAUCUUAGGACAACGAUUAAUUGAAGCCCACGAAAGCCAGGGCC
rnacentral:rRNA from 1 species